rnacentral:misc_RNA from 1 species
CAUCCCUCAAGCUCUGCUUGGUAUUGGGUGUCAUCAAGUAUGGUGUACCUAAAAUUUAGUGGCAGUACCACCGGCCUUAAGCGUAGUAAUAUUUCUCGCUUUCAAGGUUAGGCUGUUAUACUUGCCAGCAAGCCCUAAUUUAUCAAA